AUUUGACAUUUGUUUUACACAAAUUGCUUUAGAUGUGGUAAGACUAAACUUGGACAAAAUGUACAUCUGAAUCUAAGCUUUAUUAACUAAGAAGACUGAAUGGAAUUUUCUCCCAGUGCAGUAAAACCUCAAUCAAGAAAAAUCACUCCAUUUUCAUCAGGUCUGGCUCUGAAGUUGCAUCAUGGCCUCCAGCAUGAAGGUUCACAAUGGUGGGCAGUGUUGAUGCACGCUGUAAUUCCAGCAGUCUGGAGGCUGUGGCAGGAAGACCUCAAGGUUAAGGCCAAUGUCAGUAACAGAACAUUCCAGGCCAGACACGGGUGCAUAACAAGACUUUGUCUCUGAAUGAAAAAAAGAAGACUGAAAAUGAAAGUGUACAAAGGACAUUGGCUGUCUGGUUUUCAGGAGGGCAGCAUGCGGUGUGUUCUCAGCUUUCCCAGCACAGGGCGUCCACAGGUCGUUAACAUGCUGGGCCUGUUCCUCUGCGGUGAUGAGAGCCCACCCCAGGAUGGGGAGGAGAAGUCCUGCGAUCUGGUGUCAGAAAGGACUAAAAGUCUUUGGGUUUUGUCAGCUGUAGGGAGGCUGACCACGGCCUGGAUCUGAGCUGUUGCCAGACAGUGAGUGAGAGUCUGCGUUUGUGCUCCUGAAAGAGCUUGUGAGGCCCAGCAGAGCCCAGCAGGGCCUGGGUUGUGUGGGGGAAGACACAGGGCUGCUCCUCUCAGCAUUCCUGUCUUAGAUCUGCCCUGCUAGGGCUGUGCAGAGUUGCCUGGUCUGGUGUCCAGGGGCUGUGGAAUUAUUCAUGUUUGGUUUUAAAAGCAGCUUCAGGAGCUUGGGGUUCAGAUUGUCGUCAGUUCUCGGCACCUGUGUGUUACACACAAGAGGGAUUUGCAGUUCUUUUAACUUCAUUGCCUACAGUGCUUAGGAUCUGGGGACACGCUGUACUCAGACAGAGGCCCCCAAUCUACAUUCCUAUUCAGGAGGGGAAGGACACCCAGACAGCCUUCCCUGCUGCCCAUCUGUUCCUCAUCAUCUGGGGAUGGGGAGUCUCUUAGAACUGCUCACACUGUCCACAGCCUCAUUUUCCUCUAGCUCUAGCCAUAACACCAUUCUUUAAACAGAAGUGCACAUUAGAUAUGUAACCUAAAAUGUUGAUUUAAAAUUUCUGUUCCCUGAUAAAUAAAGUGUGGCACAUUUAUUCAUGUGCUUAGUGGGACGUCAGAGAUCUUCCUAUUUUCCUACAUUGUUUACUCCUUAAAGAAAGCUGAGUUGGUAACACGUUAUUAAUGAGUUGAAGUAAAAAUCUUGUUUGUCCUGUGCUGUGGGAUGUUCUGUAUGUCCUGUGGGAGCCCUUCUUGGGUUCCUUGUGG